AGAUUUAGAUGGGACCACAGUCACUGAUUUAGAUCAAUGUAAUAAAAAUACAAUGUGUUUUUUUCUUGCUCCAGGUUACUGGAGGCAGCCGCCUGCUGCUUCCCCCAUGGCAGACAUGUGGCUAGGGGUGCAAGUCGGAAGAGUGAGUGGGGCUGCCGCAGGCUUUGCCCAGGCUCCCCUGCACCUGCGGGAAGGCUUCUCCUUGGCGGGAAAAACAUGACACCCUGUUUCUCCACCAAGAUCCUGAUUUGACAUCCAUUGUUUGUUUCUAUGGAGAAAAUAAUUGGGAACAGAUGGCCUCUGAUGUCCUCUCCAGCAGUAUGGAUGGAGAUGUAAGUGCUUGAUUGCCUAUCCUCAAUGUAUUGCAGUGGGUAUGUGCUUGGACUCUGGAUUUCAAUGGUUGGGGUUCAAAUUCCAUCUUCUAGUUUCUUCUUGUGGCAUCUUGAGCAAUUUAACUUCUCUGUGCCUCAAUUUCU
rnacentral:lncRNA from 1 species